GAGGUUUUAUUUUAAUUAAAAAUUUUAAACUGUAGAUUUAGAGAUUAUUGCCUUG
rnacentral:tRNA from 1 species